UUGAUACUCCCUCCGUUUGGAAUUACUUGUCGCAGAAAUGGAUGUAUCUAGACGUAUUUUAGUUCUAGAUACAUCCAUUUCCGAGACAAGUAAUUCCGAACGGAGGGAGUAGUUA
rnacentral:pre_miRNA from 1 species